ensembl:lncRNA
ACUUCCCUUGUGGAAUGGAGCUCACUGAACCUCUCUGAUGGCUGCCCGAUCGUUCUGAUGGUUUGCAAAUUGUUCUUUGUUCAAAUUAAACCCUGCUAAAUUUAA